GAAAAAGCCGAAUUCAGAAGACAUAAAAUUUCCAUGUGACUGUAUAAGUUUACAAGAGUGCCGGCUCCGACGAUCAGAUGCAGGUGGUUACCAUCCGUCUACUGCACGACGUCGAACUACCGUCCUCGCAUCAAUGUCGUCGUAGUCGGCACGUUGCGCUGUAGAGGAAAAGUAGAAAUCUCUCCCAGGGAUUAAUGGCAGUGCUAUGGCCGUUACGAGAGGUGCUCAAUAAAAUGUGCUUCAUGCAAGUUUUAUUAUAUGUACCUGAAUAUAAAACAACUUGUGAUAAAAUGGAGAAAUAACAUGUGGGGUUUAAAUUUUCAGGUUCCAUGAAACAUGUUACGAACAACGGAAUAAAUUCGAAAUGCAACUGAACCGACAAAAGGAUAGUCUCUGAAUAUCAUCGUUCGACGUCACUGGAAAAUAUUCAAUUUCUGUCCAUACAAUUCAAUUUAGUCCUCCCCCCAUUAGGGCUUUUUUCAGCAAUUAAUAACUGUCAAAUCCUGCUGCCUACUAGAAAAUCGUAGAGUUUGCGCAGUACGUCCGUAACACGUAACCCUGUAUCGGUACACAAAUAUUGUUUGCUGUUGGUUUCGUUUUUCGCACUUCAAAACGCUGAAGAAUGGUGGGGAGAUAUUGAUAAAUGUGCGCUGAUUUCGAUCCUGUAUAUAUUGGUAACGCAAAAUUGUAGCAGGCAUAUUUGAGCCAGGUUUUGCUUCUACUGUCAGACAUGAAAAAUAUAGCUGCAUAGUAAUACAGCUUUCAGGCAAUAAAUUGGUCAUCAGAGGGUUUGUACUGUGAAUGUAAAUAAGAUAAAUUCUUUAUAUUUCCUUCGAAAGCAGAACUAUUAUUUAUUUUUGAUAUGUGGCAUGUUUUACUGAGAAAAGAUAAACAUAGCAUAAUAUCUUAUGUUUAUGGCAGAACGAAUCAAAAAACGUUUUUAAUGUUAUGA